rnacentral:rRNA from 1 species
AAUGAACGCUGGCGGCGCGCCUAAUACAUGCAAGUCGAGCGAGAAGACGUAGCAAUACGUUUGUAAAGCGGCGAACGGGUGAGGAAUACAUGGGUAACCUACCCUCGAGUGGGGAAUAACUAGCCGAAAGGUUAGCUAAUACCGCGUACGCUCCUUGGACUUCGGUUCAGGGAGGAAAGCGAUACCGUGGGUAUCGCGCUCUUGGUUGGGCUCAUGUCCUAUCAGCUUGUUGGGAGGUAACGGCUCACCAAGGCUUCGACGGGUAGCUGGUCUGAGAGGAUGAUCAGCCACACUGGGACUGAGACACGGCCCAGACUCCUACGGGAGGCAGCAGUGGGGAAUCUUGGACAAUGGGCGCAAGCCUGAUCCAGCCAUGCCGCGU